rnacentral:rRNA from 1 species
CCUACGGGAGGCAGCAGUGGGGAAUUUUGGACAAUGGGGGCAACCCUGAUCCAGCCAUUCCGCGUGAGUGAAGAAGGCCUUCGGGUUGUAAAGCUCUUUUGUCGGGGACGAAACGGUUACGAUUAAUACUCGUGACAACUGACGGUACCCGAAGAAUAAGCACCGGCUAACUACGUGCCAGCAGCCGCGGUAAUACGUAGGGUGCGAGCGUUAAUCGGAAUUACUGGGCGUAAAGCGUGCGCAGGCGGUUUUGUAAGCCAGAUGUGAAAUCCCCGGGCUUAACCUGGGAAUGGCAUUUGGGACUGCAAGGCUAGAGUAUGGCAGAGGAGACUAGAAUUUCUGGUGUAGCAGUGAAAUGCGUAGAUAUCAGAAGGAAUACCGAUGGCGAAGGCAGGUCUCUGGGUCAAUACUGACGCUCAUGCACGAAAGCGUGGGGAGCAAACAGGAUUAGAUACCCUGGUAGUCCACGCCCUAAACGAUGUCAACUGGUUGUUGGGAUAUUUAUCUCUUAGUAACGAAGCUAACGCGUGAAGUUCGACCGCCGUCGGGAGGUACGGUACGGCGAGAAGUUAAACUAACGAAAGAAGUAGUACGGACGUGAGACGUACGCCGACGGACGACGACGAGGGAGGAGG